rnacentral:misc_RNA from 1 species
UGACUGGAUUUAAUAGUGACCACAGUUUCUUAGUUGCCUAGAAGUGUAUUUUUUAAAAAACCAAUUAAAUACACAUACAACAUCAUUAUUACCUAACUAGUGCUUAUCCUUUGUUUCUCUGUUUUCUUAGGAUGUGUAUUUUUAAUUUAGGAUUAUAACUCCUGAUAAUGUUUCUGUGAGCCUUUCAUGUGAUUUAUAGGAAGACUGGGUUAUUGCUAUCACCAUUAUACCUCUUUUGUAAAACUACUCAAGAAUAAGACCUGCUUGUUGGGCAGAAAUCUGUGGGCAGAAUGUUGAUGUUGCCCCCAUCCAUGAGGGCUUAAUAACCUUAUUGUUAAUCAGUCUUCCUCCAUAGGAGUCUCAUAGUUCCAAGGAUGAAUGCACAGUAUAUUACCGAUUU